rnacentral:rRNA from 1 species
GAGGACCCCUAAACUCUGUUUCUAUAUGUAACUUCUGAGUAAAACCAUAAAUAAAUCAAAACUUUCAACAACGGAUCUCUUGGUUCUGGCAUCGAUGAAGAACGCAGCAAAAUGCGAUAAGUAAUGUGAAUUGCAGAAUUCAGUGAAUCAUCGAAUCUUUGAACGCACAUUGCGCCCGCCAGUAUUCUGGCGGGCAUGCCUGUUCGAGCGUCAUUUCAACCCUCAAGCACAGCUUGGUGUUGGGACUCGCGUUAAUUCGCGUUCCUCAAAUUGAUUGGCGGUCACGUCGAGCUUCCAUAGCGUAGUAGUAAAACCCUCGUUACUGGUAAUCGUCGCGGCCACGCCGUUAAACCCCAACUUCUGAAUGUUGACCUCGGAUCAGGUAGGAAUACCCGCUGAACUUAAGCAUAUCAAUAAGCGGAGGAA